AAUGAUAUCUACAAAUGGCAGAAACAAGAGAAACACUGACUGUUCAAACUCAGAAAUAUCAUUAUAGUCAAGAAGCACACAUAAACAUGAAACAGCGAUCUUCUCCAAAGUGAACAUUUCAAAUAAGAGCCAUUGUGGCUUUAUUUCAGUUCCUUGAAGUUUACGCACCCACACUGCUGUCCACAAAACAGGUGGCAGCAGAGGAGCAGUGUGACAGAAUGGCAUCUGGUAUGGAAGUACGUAUGAAGCAAAGGUGUGGAGCUGAAUUCCUCCAUGUGGAAAAAAUGGCACCCAUUGAAAUUCUCUGACGCUUUUUGAGCAAUUAUUGAGACCAAACAAGGAUGUCAGCACAGUGAGGGGGUGGGUGGUAUCUCUCAGCAGCAGAAGCUGUGACACUGAGUCACCUGCACUGGAGCGGAUUUUUACAUGUGGCAUUCAGGAUCUUGCUCUGGCAAAAGUAUACAGCUAAUGGUGAUGACUGUGUUGGAAAAUAGUGUUUUGUAACUAAGAAUUUGAUCUAUCAAGUAGUAUUAUUAUACUCUUUGCUGAAAUUUUCAUGCUAAGACUCAUUACUUAUAACCUACAUAUAUAGGCAUGUGGCAGAGACAGUGCUUUGUUGAGCUCUUUCAGAUCUCUUAGCAGUAGUUAAUGGACACAAAUUUUGCCAGUGUAUCUUUCCUUGUUCUGCAGCAAUGGAUUAGGUGUAGUGAGAAGUUUAUAUUCCUGAUGGUGUAGCUAUCUGCUGUGCAUUCAUUUCUUCCCAGAGAAUUGUUUUCCAUGUUCUCAAGAGAUUGGUAGCUCAGUGGUGUGUAAGCUUGAAUACAUUGUAUUUUUUUUUUUUUUCUUCAAGGCCUGUGUCACAAAAACUGUUUUUCUCUCCUUAUUGUUUUUCUUCUUCUAAUCUACUUUUUCAACACUUUACUUUGCCAAGCAGAUGUAUAUUUUCCUCACUCAUUGAACAAAGUCCUUUAAUUCUGACCUUUGCCACUCGGUACUGCUCUCCUACUAGACUGUAUAUUGUGGAGUCUAGUGCUGUUGCAAUUGCUUCUUAUAGGUAGGCAGGACAAAAAUAAGUCACUUGUGUCUUUGAACCUCAUACAGUUUUAUUCCAUCUGUGCAGACACUACUGAAAGGUUACUAUUUCUCCUGAAAAUUUUACAAUCUCUUUUAUUUUCUAUCCUCUUAUGGUGGGAAUUUUUUUCAGAGAAAGUUAAUCCAGUAAUAGAAAUGGUGGUUUACUUUUGUUUUCUCAGUUCCACAAGUAUUUACUCUGUGUAAAGACAUACCAUGAAAUACAUGAGCAACUGUAAUUGUGUUACAUUUAUUCUAAGUCACUGUGUGAUGAUGAAAUAAUCUCAUGUUAUCAGACACGAGGAAAAAAAAGUGGUGAAAUCUGGGUAUUCUGAGUGAGAACUUUGUUUAUGCUGAGAAGGAAAUAACUGAUAAACUGCCUAAAAACUACAGGUUAAAGUGAAGGUAAAAGAAGACUUCAUUAGACAAACAAAGAAAAGGAGAUGUCUGAAAUUCCAUUCUGAAGAAAAGACUCAAUUUUACUACUAUCCCAGAAUAAAUUUGAACAAGAAACCAGCUGCUGUAUUGGUGGCAAGAUGUCAUACUAGUGAUUUGACAUGGUAGCAAAUGCUUUUAUGUACAACUUUAAGAUAGUUUGUGUCUUGGUUGGAGUGUAGCAACAAAACUUUAUAGAUUUUAAAAAAAGAGCAGAAGAAUUGAUGAGGGGAUGUCUUAUCAGCUUGCCCUAGAUUGUAAUUUGUGGGCCCUAAAUGUGUGGGCCCUAAAAUGAAUAUCCUUGUGCAUAAUUAAUCUGUUUUGAUCCCUAGAAUCAUGGUGGUCAGCAGAAAGGUGCACAGAGCUACAGUUACCUAAUGGCAAUUCACUUUGGCUGAAGCUGUGCAAAGCUAGCCAUUUUUCUUUGAUUUUUACAUUAAAAAGUGCACCUUUCUUUUUAUUCUUUGUAUGUUGACUGUGAGGAUUAUAGCCUGCAGUAAAAUGCUGCUGAGAAUUGAGAAGAGGCUUUAUCUCACCAGGCUGGCGACUGCUGAGGUGAAUGACAUAGGUUCAAUGAAAUGCUGAAAAUUUCAUCCUACCCAUAGGGUUGUAAUCAUAUCUAAGGUAUAAGCAUAGCUUAUGCUGGCUAUCAUCCAUUUAGGCUCUCCUUUAUGGAACACUGCUAUUUAUAAAUGAGGUACUGGUCUGCACAGUGUGCAGUGCUGUCACUGGCUGUGCACUGGCACCCUCUUUUGAGGGCUAUAUGACUCAACAUAGUGAAUAAAAUAUUAAAAUUCCAACAGUGUUUAUCCAGUGUGGCAGCACCAGGAGUGCAUGAGCCAAUAACAACAUAUGAGACACACAAUGAGAUAACAGCUGUUAAUAUAGCUUUCAGAAAAACAGCAACAAGAUUAGAACAGGAAUAAAACUCUAGCAAGGCCAGCCCUAGAAUGUCAGUAAAGCAAAUUGCUAAAAUAAGAUGAGAUUUUGAGGCAUUUCAUAGAAUUCCACUGAGGUAAACAAAAACUUUACAUGUUUCAUUGGUCAGACCAUUGUCAGAUAAUCCUCUGAUGCAACAGUAAGCCUAAUAGGAGGAAUGGAAAAAACUCAACUGAUAGGCAAUUUCCCACAGUUUGAAUGAAUCAUAGAUUUGAUUGCUUUGACUUUCUCAGAAAAUGAUUAGACUGGUCCACGAGAAAAAUAAAUAUACGGGAAAUUUAGACCUGUCUUUCUGCUCUAUCAGAAAGAUGGCAGCUUACUACUCUGAUGGCUGGCUGUCCUGUCAUAAUAUGAGCCCCACUGUUAGAUUUCCAUACAACCUCUACUGUGUGUUUUUAUUAUGCCUAACACAAAAAAGAAU